rnacentral:tRNA from 1 species
GGCUUAGUGGCGAAGUGGCAACGCGUUACACCUAUAAUGUAAAGAGCCUAGGUUCGAUUCCUAGCUAGGCCA